rnacentral:rRNA from 1 species
GAUAAUUCUGAAGCCAAACAGCUCCGCCUCCGCCAUGGCCAUGGCCACCUUCGCUGCCACUCCCGCGCUCCUCUCUCCCUCACCCCCCUACACCCCGGCCCCUCCACUCCGCGGGCGCCCGCCCCGCCCGCCUCUCCGUCUCGGCCUCCGGCUCCCGCGCCGCCGCCCCGUCACCACCACCACUCCGGCCGCGGCCCACGCUGCGAGCUCCCUCUCCUCCGCCCGCGGCGACCCGCGCGAGGCGGAGGCAGCGGUGGCUGAGCUGCUGCGGGACCACGGCGCGUCGCCGGAGGACGCGGCCGCCAUCGCGGCCCGCGCGCCGGGGUACGCCGCCAUGCUGGCCGACGGCGUCAGGGAGCUCGACGAGCUCGGGCUCUGGGCGUCCUGGAGCGCCGGGGCGGGCGCGCGCGCCGGCGCCGAGAUGGGCGCGCUCGGGUUCGGCAGGAAGGUGUACUUCAUGGGGCGGAGCCGGCGCGACGGCGCCGUCGUUCCCCUCGUCGAGAGCCUCGGCGUGCGCCUCUCCUCCGCGAAGCUCAUCGCGCCCUACGUCGCCGCCGAGGGCCUCCCCGUGCUCAUCCGCAGGGUUAAGUUCUUGAAGGAAAUGCUGUUUUCAAGCAGUGGCUAUGAAACUCUAAUCGGACGGAAUGCUAAGCGCAUGAUGGCACACUUGUCAAUACCCGCAGAUGAGGCACUCCAGAGUACGCUGUCAUUUUUCGAAAAAAUGGAGGCCAGACAUGGUGGUCUGAGCAUGUUGGCACAUGGGGAUGUGUCAUUUCCCUAUCUCAUCGAAUCAUUUCCAGUGCUUCUUCUCUGCUCAGAGGACAAACAUCUUAAGGCAUUAAUUGAUUUCCUUGAACACAUUGGAGUUCCCAAGCCGAGGAUUCCAUCAGUUCUGCUGGCAUUUCCUCCUAUUAUCCUUUCUGAUGUCGAAAAGGAUAUCAAGCCAAGGAUUCAUGCAUGGGAGAAGGCUGGCAUAGAACAGGAAUAUAUUGGUCGGAUGUUGUUGAAGUAUCCAUGGAUUCUUUCUGCAAGUGUGAUAGAAAACUACAAGCAGGCCCUUUUGUUCUUCAACAGAAGAAAGAUUUCCAGUACAUUUCUUGGCAUUGCUGUCAAAAGUUGGCCUCACAUUCUGGGUUGUUCAACAACAAGAAUGAACUCAAUUCUAGUGCUGUUUGAUGAUCUGGGCAUCAGUAAGAAAAUGUUGGUUCCUGUUCUUACAUCAAGUCCACAGUUGCUGCUGAGAAAACCUAAUGAGUUUUUGCAGGUUGUUUCCUUUUUUAAAGAUAUGGGUUUUGAUAAGAUAACAGUGGCAAAGAUUGUCUGUCGUUCUCCAGAAAUUUUUGCUUCAGAUGUGGAGAAUACCCUCAAAAAGAAAAUCAACUUUCUUAUUGACUUUGGUAUUUCUGAGCGUCACCUUCCUCGUAUCAUUAAGAAGUACCCAGAGCUUUUGUUGUUGGACAUAAAUCGCACACUGCUACCAAGAAUGAAUUACUUCCUGGGGAUGGGCUUGUCUAAGAAAGAUGUCUGCUCAAUGAUCUCUAGAUUCUCCCCACUUCUGGGGUACAGUAUUGAGCAUGUUCUGAAACCAAAGAUUGAUUUUCUAUUGCAAACCAUGAAGAAACCACUUAAAGCGGUUGUGGAAUAUCCAAGGUACUUCAGCUAUUCUCUUGAGGGCAGGAUAAAGCCACGGUUUUGGAUAAUAAAGAGUAGAAACAUAGACUGCAGUCUGACAGACAUGCUUGCAAAAAACAAUGAACUUUUUGCUGAAGAGUACCUGGGAAUAGAAACAUGACCUGUGGCUCCUCUACAGUCAAGCAAAAGUGGUUAAUUUCUAGACUUGAAACAAGAGCGGACUAUGUUACUGUGUCUGAUUAUACAGCUUUAUGAUUCCAUCUGGAUCCGGGAGGCUGUUUUACAGAUGGGAAGCCACUUCUCGAGUCUUCAACAUUCAUAAGACCUUGUCCAUUGGGAUAUCCCCUUGAGACCAGAUUGAGGAGGAACUGAAGGCCAGCCCUUGAGACCAUUGACGAUAGAGACCAACUGCCAAAAUAUUACCUCUGAGAGCUGCACUUGCAUGUAUCAGCAAGGGCGCCACGUCAACAGCAAAGCCCAACUCUUGUGCUUGAAACUGCCUGCUGCUAUAUGUUUCGGCACGGUGCCGUGAAGCGUCCUUCCAGAGAAGAAGGUUCUUACACAUUGGUGCUUCGCCAACUGACAGGAGCAGGAACUCUGCUCUGUUGGUGCAGUAGAUUGGUAUGCGCUUCUCGCUGAGGCAUAGGAAGCAGGAAGAGGCGAAGGUUGCAAGGUCGGUUUCGCCGCGGAUGCCUUUUUUUUUUGUAACAGUUUUACCCUUUUGUACUCACUGUAUACAUGGACGUGCGCUGUAAUUGGAUUUGCAAUGGUAAAGAGUUGUAGAUUUCACUGGAUCUGCGUGCUGUGUAAUGUAGCUUGUGCAUCACCAAACUUUCGUCUGAGUAUAUAAUCCCUCCAUC